rnacentral:pre_miRNA from 9 species
AGUGGCCGGUAUAACAGUUAAUUCAAAUUUGUAUGGAGUUGGAACGUCUGCCUGCGUUUGCCGCUAGGGGCACUGUUCCGACUGCAUACAAAUUUGAGUUAGCUUUACGCCAUCGA